rnacentral:rRNA from 1 species
GGGCCCGCACAAGCGGUGGAUUAUGUGGAUUAAUUCGAUGCAACGCGAAAAAACCUUACCUGGCCUUGACAUGUACCGAAUUUAGCAGAGAUGCUUUAGUGCUCGUAAGAGAACGGUAACACAGGUGCUGCAUGGCUGUCGUCAGCUCGUGUCGUGAGAUGUUGGGUUAAGUCCCGCAACGAGCGCAAACCCUUGCCAUUAAUUGCCAUCAUUUAGUUGGGCACUUUAAUGGGACUGCCGGUGACAAACCGGAGGAAGGUGGGGAUGACGUCAAAGUCCUCAAUGGCCCUUGAUGGCCAGGGCUUCACACGUAAUACAAGUGGUCGGUAACAGGAGGGCUGCUAACCCGCAGAGGGGGUG